AGUGAACGCUGGCGGUAGGCCUAACACAUGCAAGUCGAACGGCAGCACAGGAGAGCUUGCUCUCUGGGUGGCGAGUGGCGGACGGGUGAGGAAUACAUCGGAAUCUACUUUUUCGUGGGGGAUAACGUAGGGAAACUUACGCUAAUACCGCAUACGACCUACGGGUGAAAGCAGGGGAUCUUCAGACCUUGCGCGAUUGAAUGAGCCGAUGUCGGAUUAGCUAGUUGGCGGGGUAAAGGCCCACCAAGGCGACGAUCCGUAGCUGGUCUGAGAGGAUGAUCAGCCACACUGGAACUGAGACACGGGCCAGACUCCUACGGGAGGCAGCAGUGGGGAAUAUUGGACAAUGGGCGCAAGCCUGAUCCAGCCAUACCGCGUGGGUGAAGAAGGCCUUCGGGUUGUAAAGCCCUUUUGUUGGGAAAGAAAUCCAGCUGGCUAAUACCCGGUUGGGAUGACGGUACCCAAAGAAUAAGCACCGGCUAACUUCGUGCCAGCCGCCGCGGUAA
rnacentral:rRNA from 1 species